GACGAACGCUGGCGGCGUGCUUAACACAUGCAAGUCGAACGGUAAGGCCCUUCGGGGUACACGAGUGGCGAACGGGUGAGUAACACGUGGGUGAUCUGCCCUGCACUUCGGGAUAAGCCUGGGAAACUGGGUCUAAUACCGGAUAGGACCACUGCCUGCAUGGGGGGUGGGGGAAAGCUUUUGCGGUGUGGGAUGGGCCCGCGGCCUAUCAGCUUGUUGGUGGGGUGAUGGCCUACCAAGGCGACGACGGGUAGCCGGCCUGAGAGGGUGACCGGCCACACUGGGACUGAGAUACGGCCCAGACUCCUAUGGGAGGCAGCAGUGGGGAAUAUUGCACAAUGGGCGCAAACCUGAUGCAGCGACGCCGCGUGAGGGAUGACGGCCUUCGGGUUGUAAACCUCUUUCAGCACCGACGAAGCGCAAGUGACGGUAGGUGCAGAAGAAGGACCGGCCAACUACGUGCCAGCAGCCGCGGUAA
rnacentral:rRNA from 1 species